AAGUCGUAACAAGGUUUCCGUAGGUGAACCUGCGGAAGGAUCAUUAGCACUUUUGUGGGAGAAGGGUUUUGUCGUAAAGGCAGUCCUGAUCCCCGAUAAACACCUGUGAGCAUAGAUUGAUUUUGUGGAUGGGAGGGUGGAAGAGUAGUCCAGGCCUGCGGCCUCGCUGCGACCUAGGACCACUCCAAAGCUCUUUCCCUUUUUACUUUUUUUAAACCCCAACAACCAUAUCUAAAAACUUAUCAAAAGACUAAAACUUGCCUCUUGCCCACAAAGCAAGAGACAACCUUGAUAUUCUAACCAAAGAAACAAUUCUUAGCAACGGAUAUCUUGGUUCCC
rnacentral:misc_RNA from 1 species